rnacentral:lncRNA from 1 species
UCUUAAUGCCGCCAUUGCCGUUGGUGGCUGCGCCGCCGUCGGGCCUUCCUCUUUUCCGAGCGCCUCCAAACUCCAUAAUAUUCCAAAAACGAACCUUUUAGCAAAGAAUUUCACUGUUUCGAGGAAUUCUCAAAUGGAAAACCCUUGAAAUUCGCAAGCAGAAAAAAGCCCUUAUUUUUGCCUAGGGUUCGAAGCAGAAGAGGAUAGAGAGGGACCACGGGCAGGUGUGCAACCGUUCCUAGAGGAUAGAGAGGGACCUAGGGACUCAAGCCUGCGUUCGUCUGCCUUGCAAUGCUUUUCAUUUUUCAUUUUUCAUUUUUC